CACGUAGGGGGCGAGCGUUGUCCGGAUUCAUUGGGCGUAAAGCGCGCGCAGGCGGCUCGGAAAGUCGGGUGUGAAAACUCGGGGCUCAACCCCGGGCGUGCAUCCGAUACUGCCGGGCUUGAGGCAGGUAGGGGAGAUCGGAAUUCCUGGUGUAGCGGUGAAAUGCGCAGAUAUCAGGAGGAACACCGGUGGCGAAGGCGGAUCUCUGGGCCUUACCUGACGCUGAGGCGCGAAAGCUAGGGGAGCGAACAGG
rnacentral:rRNA from 1 species